UGCACCGGCGACGGCAGUAGCAGCACUAUUUUCCUUGUGCUCUCACCUCAGUCCUCCCUGCUCUCACUAGCACAGUAACCCACAUUAAUCAAGCAUUGACCGGGACAGCAUGGCAGUGUCGGCAGCAGCUGCAGCCUUAACGAUCACAGUCUUGUCCUCGCAGGCGAGGCGAACGUCAGACGACUGACUCCUCGGCUUUGUGCACAGUGGGAGGGAAUCUCUCUCUCAGGAGGAACAGGAAUUAAACGGGUGCUCAUUAUGCCUGAAUUUGCAUCAGUAAAAGCGGAUAGCCCACAGUAAAAUGCAAUGGAAUGAAGGGAAUUCGGAGGAAAGGUCUGAUUGGUGCCUGCAGAACACAUCUGACAUGGAGGGGCCCACCUGCCCCAUCCCCGGGCAGCAUGCCAUCUUCAAUCAAUCACUCAACUCAUAGAGAACAUGACAUCACUCAGGCUCACACUACUAUUGAGGACCUCUGAGUUCCCCUGCUACUGUCCCCAAUGACUCUUCUCUUCCUACCCCCUCCUUCUCUGUGACUCUCUUCGGUGACGGGUAUUCUUGGGUGGAUAAUACGGAUCACGUUGUUAUUGCUUAAGAAUACGCGUAGUUGAGGAGAGUCCUCUCGACACUGACUUGGAGGAGCUAAAGGAGCUAACGUCCCGCUGCAUGAGCCAAAGUAGAGCCAGGAUGACUGUCUGUUUUCCAUAUCCAGGACCAUUUAUUAAACAACUAGAAAGAUUAACAUAGCCUAAUUUCUUUAGUGGGCUUUCAGCUCUGCCCAAACCCCGUGGACACUAGCAGCAAAGACAGAGAGAGCGAGUGAGAGAGAGGUUAUUACGCUUUUACAGUUACCUUUCCCAAUAUGUUUUUUCGCAGUAGGCUAUAUCAUAUUGUUGUAAUUACUGUAAUAUGAUUUGAUUACCCAUUGUACUGAAUGUGGUCUUUUCUGUUCUGUCGACUCUACCAGUCUGAUUACUUAAUAUUUUCUGCAAUUAAUUCAGUUAGGCUUCAGGGUGAAACAGGCUCAUUUUCACUUUAGGGAGUUGUAUUUUGUACUGCUGCCUUGCCUGGUGCAGUAAUGGAGAUUUACUUUGGUCCUACAAAUACGCAACAUUUAGCUUGUAUACAUAUAGAUUUUGUGGGAACACAGUUUCUGGUCUAAGAGCUACUUCCCAGAGAUGUCAAGAUGACCAUGUUGCCUGUGAAUACCUCAUUUAGAGUCAAAGAAAAUAUAUUGGGAGAAGGAGAAACUAUGUGAGAGCAACUGAAUUUUAACAAAAAAUAUUUCAAUUCUACCUCAAUGCUGUGUAUCAAUACAACCCUGUAACUCCAUCACAGAGAGCUCGUUGUUUGUGAUCACAGAGUAAAUAUCAACAAAAUGCAGAGAAACUGUCCUGGCACAUGUCAUUAUUCUACAUCCUAGAGCCAUGCAGACCCUCCCUCUGAAGAUCAAUUCUACAAGCCCAGUAAAAUCAUUCCCCGACUCAUUCUCCAAUUCGUUUUCAUCCAAAACGAUUUACACAUCGAGAAGAGUCAUUGCGCUUGAAUGAUGUGGGGAAAUGUCCCUCUCUUAGCUUACACUGGUGGAAAUCAAUGCGGUAUGCAUUACAGUGUUAUUGUGGCAGUCAGUUUCUGCUGAAUCAUGCUGUUGAAUUUUUGGCCAUUCACCAACUCUUAUCAAAUUGGCCAAAGAAUGUAUCUUUGGUUGCAUUAGAUUAUAUCAAAUGAAAUAAAUGGAAGAAUUGAAGUUGCUCUCAAAAUGUCUCUAUUAAUGACAUCUCUUGAAUCUGCUGUGCAUCUAAUGUUCCUAUCAUCUGAGGCUUGACUAAAAAGGGAAGGUCUGCUCAAGCCUCUAAUGAAUCUAUUUGUGCUGGCAUAAUUGGAUCCUACCACUAGGGGAGCCCUGUAGCUGACAGUCAGACAAUUAACUCAAUGAAGUAGUUUUUUUGUAACUGUUUUAUAAGGAGCAUUACUUUAGCAGCACUACUUAUGAAUCUGCACUGUUAGUCAGGCAGUGUGUUUUGCAGUACGAAUGGGCUUUUGACGGUAUGUUCAUUCAGUUUAUGACAUUUUGAACAUCAUUUUCUAAUCAGACAUUUUCGUUAAUUGAUUAAUUGAUUGUAUCUUUUUUUGUGACAUGUUGAAAACCCAGACAAUCUGUAAAAUUUUAUGGAUCGAAAACAAAAUGACAAACAAUAAACAAACCAUUUGA